rnacentral:lncRNA from 1 species
UGAUUAUUUUUGGAAACAAGUAGUUAAAUUUAUUUUAAAAAAAAUCAAUUCAUCUCCUCUCUUUGGUUGCUGCCUCUAGGAAGCAAUGAGAAAUCCUACAAUCAUUCUCUCAAGUUUGCAUUUGUAUGAAUUGUACUGAGCAUUUUGGCAUCAUCAAAAUAAAUCCUUGGGUCAAUAUUCUCUAUCACUCUAAGUUGCAAAAAGAGAAUUAUAUUCAUCACACCCC